rnacentral:miRNA from 1 species
UCAUCUCUCCUCGACUGAA